UACAGAGGGCCCAAGCGUUGUUCGGAUUCACUGGGCGUAAAGGGUGCGUAGGUGGUUAGGUAAGUCGGGUGUGAAAUCUCCAAGCUCAACUUGGAAACUGCAUUGGAAACUAUCUUGCUAGAGGGUUUGAGGGGGGACUGGAAUACUUGGUGUAGCAGUGAAAUGCGUAGAUAUCAAGUGGAACACCAGUGGCGAAGGCGAGUCCCUGGAAAAUACCUGACACUGAGGCACGAAAGCUAGGGGAGCAAACAGG
rnacentral:rRNA from 1 species